AAGACCGACGCAUAUUUAUAGCACCUUUUAAGCUGAUCCCUUCUAGUAAUAGUAGUAGUAAACUUUGUCGCCUUCCUCAUCCUUGUCCGACUCCCUGACCAUCGGCGACUGUCGGACUGCUGGACUGGUCUCUCUCUCUCUCUCUCUCUCUCUCUCUCUCUCUCUCUCCUCCUCCGGGAAUGCCGCUGGUAUUGCGUGCGUGAUGUAACAAUGAUUUGAUGGUCAUUUCAACAAAGAUGGCAAAAAGUUCUUCUCCCGCUUGCACCGCAGAAGUUGGAAAGAAGUCGGAGUAUUGCUUGAUCAACCUGAUCUUGCUCACGAGUUUUAUUGAGAAUCCAGUGUAUUGGGCCGGCCUGGCCCCAAUGGACUUAUGGUUAACGUGACAACCUUGCAAGCCAUUGAAUGGAUGAUCUCAUUGUAUAACUACACUGCCUGUAAGGUUGAGAUAAAUGCUGUUGAUGCUCAAGAUUCUUACAUGGUCAAGAAGCUUCUCGCAAA